rnacentral:rRNA from 1 species
AAUAGAUACCCCGGUAGUCCAUGCCGUAAACGAUGAGUGCUAAGUGUUAGGGGGUUUCCGCCCCUUAGUGCUGCAGCUAACGCAUUAAGCACUCCGCCUGGGGAGUACGACCGCAAGGUUGAAACUCAAAGGAAUUGACGGGGGCCCGCACAAGCGGUGGAGCAUGUGGUUUAAUUCGAAGCAACGCGAAGAACCUUACCAGGUCUUGACAUCCCAAUGACCGCUCUAGAGAUAGAGUUUUCCCUUCGGGGACAUUGGUGACAGGUGGUGCAUGGUUGCCGUCAGCUCGUGUCGUGAGAUGUUGGGUUAAGUCCCGCAACGAGCGCAACCCUUAAUCUUAGUUGCCAUCAUUUAGUUGGGCACUCUAAGGUGACUGCCGGUGAUAAACCGGAGGAAGGUGGGGAUGACGUCAAAUCAUCAUGCCCCUUAUGACCUGGGCUACACACGUGCUACAAUGGACGGUACAAAGAGUCGCUAACUCGCGAGAGUAUGCUAAUCUCAUAAAACCGUUCUCAGUUCGGAUUGUAGGCUGC